UACGUAGGGUGCGAGCGUUGUCCGGAAUUACUGGGCGUAAAGGGCUCGUAGGCGGUUUGUCACGUCAGGAGUGAAAACUCGGGGCUCAACCCCGAGCCUGCUUCUGAUACGGGCAGACUAGAGGUAUGCAGGGGAGAACGGAAUUCCUGGUGUAGCGGUGAAAUGCGCAGAUAUCAGGAGGAACACCGGUGGCGAAGGCGGUUCUCUGGGCAUUACCUGACACUGAGGAGCGAAAGUGUGGGGAGCGAACAGG
rnacentral:rRNA from 1 species